rnacentral:rRNA from 1 species
AUUGAACGCUGGCGGCAGGCCUAACACAUGCAAGUCGAACGGUAACAGGAAGACGCUUGCUUCUUUGCUGACGAGUGGCGGACGGGUGAGUAAUGUCUGGGAAACUGCCUGAUGGAGGGGGAUAACUACUGGAAACGGUAGCUAAUACCGCAUAACGUCGCAAGACCAAAGAGGGGGACCUUCGGGCCUCUGGCCAUCGGAUGUGCCCAGAUGGGAUUAGCUAGUAGGUGGGGUAACGUCUCACCUAGGCGACGAUCCCUAGCUGGUCUGAGAGGAUGACCAGCCACACUGGAACUGAGCCACGGUCCAGACUCCUACGGGAGGCAGCAGUGGGGAAUAUUGCACAAUGGGCGCAAGCCUGAUGCAGCCAUGCCGCGUGUAUGAAGAAGGCGUUCGGGUUGUAAAGUCCUUUCAGCGGGGGGGAAGGGAGUAAAGUUAAUACCUUUGCUCAUUGACGUUACCCGCAGAAGAAGCACCGGCUAACUCCGUG